rnacentral:precursor_RNA from 12 species
UAAGUCACUGACACAUUGCGAUGUGUGCAUUGCAUUGCGACGGGUUACAUCACUGAAUUUAGCAUGAUGUAACCCAACGCAGCAUGAUGUAAGUGUCGUCAUACGUUGGAGAUUUAAA